GCAGGUUCUCGCCACAAGGUGAACACAAUAUAUAGUACAUCCUCCUCAGUGGAACUUCUAACCUAACAUAGAGGCGUCUAUUCCACCAUGACAAAGCAAGGGAAACUGGACACUGAGAAAACAGAAACAAGAGAAACAUGGGGCCAUCGAGUGGAUGGCAUCGUCACCUUGUUGGGAUACAGUGUCGGGGAGGGAACUCUGCUCAAGUUUCCUUAUCUCUGCGCAAGAAACGGCGGAGGUACACAACCAGAUGAUCCACU